rnacentral:rRNA from 1 species
UACGUAGGGGGCAAGCGUUGUCCGGAUUUAUUGGGCGUAAAGAGCGUGUAGGCGGUUUGGUAGGUCCGUUGUGAAAACUCGAGCUCAACCUCGAGACGCCCGAUGGAAACUGCAAAGCUAGAGUCCGGAAGAGGAGAGUGGAAUUCCUGGUGUAGCGGUGAAAUGCGCAGAUAUCAGGAAGAACACCCGUGGCGAAGGCGGCUCUCUGGGACGGUACUGACGCUGAGACGCGAAAGCGUGGGGAGCGAACAGG